rnacentral:piRNA from 2 species
AUGUGGCUCUGUGGCGCAAUGGAUAGC